CCUCUUCUUACUGCUCCAUAUCGGUUUUCACAGAUUUUCUCUUCUUUCUAUGAAAAGCAUGCAUUCUUAAAGAAAGAAAUAAGGGAACAAGUGAAAAGUGUCACAAGCGAGGCCCCUCGAGAUGAGGGUCUGAGGGGCUUAGGCAGCGACGGUUUCCUUGCGCUCUGAGUUGUGCAGGGCAGAUUCCCGCCCCCAGCCCUCACCAGCUGGAUUUGAAUCUCUGAGAGUGAGGCUCAGGCAUAGGAUUGACAAGCUCCCCCAGGAACCAAGUUCUUAUCUGCAAGACGGGGACCGGUCACCCAUCUUCUGCAAGGUCCCUGGAGCAGGGCCUGUGCACAAGGCCAGGCUGCAGGAAGGCCCGGAAGCUUCCCCGGGGGUGCGUGUUGUCGGCUGAUACACAGAUGGGACUUUUCUGCUUGUCCCAAGAAUGUGGAAGGAGCCACAAAGCUGAGAAGGACAAGUGGUGAGAGCCUUGCAUUUUGAGAGGUGCGACACCCCGGGAUCCUGUCUGACGGAAAGAGCAGAGCUGUCCCCAGCAGUCAACCCCGCCAGCCACCUCCAGCCUGGAUGGAUGGGGGCCUGAGUGUGGGUCGAGGCAUUGUCUCCAUCGUCCUCUUGGUAAGAGCAUCUCCUGAAGCUCAGCUGAGCACUGGGCCGUCCAGCUAGAGGCCAUUCCCAGCUCUCUUUGUGGUAGGAGUGGACACGGCAUCGAGUUGCGGUCAAUGGGAUGUGAGAGGAAGGGACGCGCGCAACCUCUGGCCACAGCCUUGAAAAGGCAGCCGUUCCCGGCGCUCUCUCCUUCUCUCUCUGGGGCUGGACCACCAGCCAGUGGGAACGAUGGAGAUGAGGCGGACGCCCUUGGACGGGGAGGAACAACGCGAUAGGAGGAACCAGCUCCUUCCGCAGCCUCAGGGCGUGGAGCUCCUCAGCCACCCUGGUCCACCCGCAAACUGCAGGCGGUCAUGAAAGAGACAGAGUAAUCGAAGGGAAGGAGGCGGGCAGAAUCUUCGAAAUUUCAAAACCCCUCUUCUUAUGUCACCAUCGAAACCAAGACUCCGAUAGUCAAAAUCGUGAAAGAAAUUGUCCUAACUCACCAAGAAUACACAAAUCUCCAAUUACGCACGACAGAGCGAGAUUCCGUUCCCUUUCCAGUCUCUUUAUAGAAAAAUAACACAAGGACAAAAGUAUCGUCAUGUUAAGAGGUGAGAAAAUAGUACAAAAUACAGAAAAACGGUAUUACGCAAAUGGUCAGGCGGUUAAGAAAUAGAAACAUUGAUGCUUUUCUAGGUUUUGUGGUGUUUGCAAGCUUUGUGAGCUUUGUAACACCUGAAUUGUGAUUUCCUUGCUCAUGCUAAUAAACAUUCACGUUUGUAUCUA
rnacentral:lncRNA from 1 species